AUUGAACGCUGGCGGCAGGCUUAACACAUGCAAGUCGAACGAUGACUAACUAGCUUGCUAGUUAUGAUUAGUGGCGGACGGGUGAGUAACAUUUAGGAAUCUGCCUAGUAGUGGGGGAUAGCUCGGGGAAACUCGAAUUAAUACCGCAUACGACCUACGGGUGAAAGGGGGCGCAAGCUCUUGCUAUUAGAUGAGCCUAAAUCAGAUUAGCUAGUUGGUGGGGUAAAGGCCUACCAAGGCGACGAUCUGUAACUGGUCUGAGAGGAUGAUCAGUCACACCGGAACUGAGACACGGUCCGGACUCCUACGGGAGGCAGCAGUGGGGAAUAUUGGACAAUGGGGGCAACCCUGAUCCAGCCAUGCCGCGUGUGUGAAGAAGGCCUUUUGGUUGUAAAGCACUUUAAGCAGGGAGGAGAGGCUAAUGGUUAAUACCCAUUAGAUUAGACGUUACCUACAGAAUAAGCACCGGCUAACUCUGUGCCAGCAGCCGCGGUAAUACAGAGGGUGCGAGCGUUAAUCGGAAUUACUGGGCGUAAAGCGAGUGUAGGUGGCUCAUUAAGUCACAUGUGAAAUCCCCGGGCUUAACCUGGGAACUGCAUGUGAUACUGGUGGUGCUAGAAUAUGUGAGAGGGAAGUAGAAUUCCAGGUGUAGCGGUGAAAUGCGUAGAGAUCUGGAGGAAUACCGAUGGCGAAGGCAGCUUCCUGGCAUAAUAUUGACACUGAGAUUCGAAAGCGUGGGUAGCAAACAGGAUUAGAUACCCUGGUAGUCCACGCCGUAAACGAUGUCUACUAGCCGUUGGGGUCCUCGAGACUUUAGUGGCGCAGUUAACGCGAUAAGUAGACCGCCUGGGGAGUACGGCCGCAAGGUUAAAACUCAAAUGAAUUGACGGGGGCCCGCACAAGCGGUGGAGCAUGUGGUUUAAUUCGAUGCAACGCGAAGAACCUUACCUGGUCUUGACAUAGUGAGAAUCCUGCAGAGAUGCGGGAGUGCCUUCGGGAAUUCACAUACAGGUGCUGCAUGGCUGUCGUCAGCUCGUGUCGUGAGAUGUUGGGUUAAGUCCCGCAACGAGCGCAACCCUUUUCCUUAUUUGCCAGCGGGUUAAGCCGGGAACUUUAAGGAUACUGCCAGUGACAAACUGGAGGAAGGCGGGGACGACGUCAAGUCAUCAUGGCCCUUACGACCAGGGCUACACACGUGCUACGAUGGUAGGUACAGAGGGUUGCUACACAGCGAUGUGAUGCUAAUCUCAAAAAGCCUAUCGUAGUCCGGAUUGGAGUCUGCAACUCGACUCCAUGAAGUCGGAAUCGCUAGUAAUCGCAGAUCAGAAUGCUGCGGUGAAUACGUUCCCGGGCCU
rnacentral:rRNA from 1 species